CCUACGGGUGGCAGCAGUGAGGAAUAUUGGUCAAUGGCCGGAAGGCUGAACCAGCCAAGCCGCGUGAGGGAGGAAGGCGCAGAGCGUCGCAGACCUCUUUUGCCGGGGGACAAAAGGCCGGACUCGUCCGGUCCUGAGGGUACCCGGAGAAAAAGCAUCGGCAAAGUCGGUGCCAGCAGCCGCGGUAAUACGGGGGAUGCGAGCGUUAUCCGGAUUCAGUGGGUUUAAAGGGUGCGCAGCGGGGCCUUUAAGCCGGCGGGGAAAUCGCGGGGCUCAACCCCGCCGAGCAGUCGGAACUGGGGGCCUUGAGUGCGGGGGAGGCAUGCGGAAUGCGUGGUGUAGCGGUGAAAUGCAUAGAUAUCGCGCAGAACCCCGAUUGCGAAGGCAGCGUGCCGUGCCGCCACUGACGCUGAGGCACGAAAGCGCGGGGAGCGAACAGGAUUAGAUACCCCUGUAGUC
rnacentral:rRNA from 1 species